GAGAUCAUACUUCACAGAAUCAUUUCUGUAGUGUGUAUUUCUUCGCUUUUAGCGAAAAUGCGACGGAGCGCAGCUGCGAUGAUGUGGCA
rnacentral:snoRNA from 1 species